ACAGUGUCUGGUGGGUAGUUUGACUGGGGCGGUCUCCUCCCAAAGAGUAACGGAGGAGCACGAAGGUUGGCUAAUCCUGGUCGGACAUCAGGAGGUUAGUGCAAUGGCAUAAGCCAGCUUGACUGCGAGCGUGACGGCGCGAGCAGGUGCGAAAGCAGGUCAUAGUGAUCCGGUGGUUCUGAAUGGAAGGGCCAUCGCUCAACGGAUAAAAGGUACUCCGGGGAUAACAGGCUGAUACCGCCCAAGAGUUCAUAUCGACGGCGGUGUUUGGCACCUCGAUGUCGGCUCAUCACAUCCUGGGGCUGAAGUAGGUCCCAAGGGUAUGGCUGUUCGCCAUUUAAAGUGGUACGCGAGCUGGGUUUAGAACGUCGUGAGACAGUUCGGUCCCUAUCUGCCGUGGGCGCUGGAAGAUUGAGGGGGGCUGCUCCUAGUACGAGAGGACCGGAGUGGACGCAUCACUGGUGUUCGGGUUGUCAUGCCAAUGGCACUGCCCGGUAGCUAAAUGCGGAAGAGAUAAGUGCUGAAAGCAUCUAAGCACGAAACUUGCCCCGAGAUGAAUCUUCCCUGAGACUUUGAGUCUCCUGAAGGAACGUUGAAGACGACGAC
rnacentral:rRNA from 1 species